rfam:Fukomys damarensis contig92243, whole genome shotgun sequence.
GCUGGGUGUGGUGGUGCACGCCUGUAAUCCCAGCCCUCGGGAGGCUGAGGCAGGAGGAUCACUGUGAGUUGGGACCAGCCUGGGCUGAGUUCCAGGUCAGUCUCAACUAUACAGUGAGACCCUGUCUUAA